rnacentral:sRNA from 1 species
CACACACACACACACACCCCACAAAGUAAGGGGGGAGGCAGGGAAUGUGGGCUUUAGGCAAAGGAAAUCUUCAUUUCAUAGCUAUGAGGCAGACAGAGAAAGGCCUACAUUUAGGUUGGGGGAAAGAUAUGGUUUAUUGCUUGCUUCUGCUAUGAGUUUUAUUUAUGGAAUGAGUAUGUACUACACAGAGGAAAUACAGUAUUGAGUAUCAAAAGUUGAAAAGAAAGCCGAAUUCACAUAGUAAAGCUAAAAGAGAAAUUGAAGAAACAUUUCUUUUGUGAGUAUUUUCCCUCUGGCCAGCAUACAUGAACUAUCUAUACUUACUUUGAUUUUUAUAAAAUAUUUAUUUAGAAGACAGAGAAAUAUAAUUUCAAUGACCACAUUUUUGUACUUUCAAGACCGUAAUGAAGUUUGACUUUUUGUAUUCAGGGAGCUAGAUAUUGGAGUACAAGCGUGCUUUAUCACAUGUCUAAUUUACAAAUGUAGAGGAUGUGAUUGGAAGUUUGUUUAUUAGGCUCCCUAGACAUAAGCAAGAACCUAUACAGAAAGACAAUUUGGUAAAGACUGAAGCCCAGUGUGUGAACAUUUUUUUUUAAUUUCAUUAAUCUUGAUCUGGCUUACCCUCCCUUAGGAGAUCCUUUUUUGAAAAAAUGACAAUCUGGCACGGUAUUGAUACAUUUAAUUUUACUUCAGACUUGUUACAAUGUUUUACUCUAUAUUGUCACCAACUUUUUGCAGAUUACAUUUAGUUCAUUCCAGACAAACACUUCUAAAACUCUUUGAAGAUUGUUUUUAUUUAAACUUAUAAUUGCUUAAAACAAAGCAAGAGACUGCCCUUUUUGAGAAAUUGGAAAAGAAAAUGAUCACAUCUUAAUAUUUUAAACUCAAAAUUGUAAUAUUACACAUUUAGUAUUUUACUUGAGUUGACAUAAUGAACAGUUAAUGAAACUGUUAAUACAUUAAACACAAAGAAAUGAUGGAAAAUGCAACAGAAAGGGAGUUUCUUCCAAAUAUUUUCCUCUAAUUGCAAAAUUGGAAAUUAAGUUAAUCUAAAACUGUUCAAUGCAAGUGUCCUUAUAGUCAAGAUAGUUUUACCGAGUCUUCUAUGAUCACAGGCAGGGCAGAGAGGAAAAAAAAAGAAUCCAUCUGGAAGUGCAUUGAUGAUAAUAUGUAUUCAAGUUGGUACAUAUUUCACUCCAAAUAGGUGGGUACAUAAAAUAUAUUAGACGUCCAUAUAAAAAUUUGAUUUUUUUACAACAUGUAUUUUUUACUUUCUCAUUGGGAAAUUUGCAUGCAUUGAAAUAAUUUUAAUUUUGAUGAAUUGAUUCUGUGAGUAGCUAAUGUAGUCGGUUGUUUUUAAGGCUGAAAGCAUGUUGGAGAAUUAGGUUAACAAAGGGUGAAGGAGAAGAUCAUUACAGGUUUUGAUGCUGACCGAGAUGGGCUGCUGAGGUUGUACAGCUGUGCCUAAAGGGCGGGGUUCCCGUACAUUCCUACUUCAGCAGAUAACCUGUCCCCAGCUUCUACCAGACACAUGGAAAUCUCCAAAGGAAAAUCUGCACAGUCCUUCUAAGAAGCAGGGUUCUGCUCGACGUUGUUGGAAGGCUGCUGAGGACUUGAGAACUGUGAACACUCUCACCAGGAGAUCGGGCUAAAGACUUUCAAAGACGAUCUGGGACAUUAUCAUCGCUUGUAAUCAAAAAGAAAAUAUUGCCCGUGAUAUUCUAUUUCUAAAAUUUAAUGGACCAUUUGAAUUGUCUACCCGUACAUUAGUAAAGCGUGAACUUUCAAGCAUGGAACUUUCAGGGCUGCUGAGAACUGUCUGGAACUCUCGAGUCCCUUUUUCUAAAAGUUAUUUUUGUAAAUUGCUGUAACAGUGGCUCAUCAGUCACUCUGAAAGGAAGUGAUCCUUGAUUAACAGUUGGCUGACACCAAGCUCCACAGAUGUGUAGCAACAGUACAGGUGCGACUUACAAAACAAGACAGAGCUUUACUCCUCCUUGGUACAAGGAAGGCUGGCAUGAUCAUCCACUUCACAUUAGAGGGUGUCUUAUCCACCAGUGUGCUGACACCAAGCAGGAAUUUCCAAGUAGAGAGCAGACUCCCUGUAGUCACAUGUCCCUGGUGAAAAUUGCUUCAUCAUUCUUCAGAAGGAAAAAAAUAAAAAGAAGAAGCAGAUUCUCUUCAGAAUCCUCUAUUCUCAGAAUGACUAGACAGAACUUUAUGCCAAAAUUCUUGCUCAUCUUCCUAUCUUCUAGUUCCAUAAAUAAAAAUAAAAUGUUAAUAAAUGGA